UGGGGAAUAUUGGACAAUGGGCGCAAGCCUGAUCCAGCCAUGCCGCGUGAGUGAUGAAGGCCCUAGGGUUGUAAAGCUCUUUUGUGCGGGAAGAUAAUGACUGUACCGCAAGAAUAAGCCCCGGCUAACUUCGUGCCAGCAGCCGCGGUAAUACGAAGGGGGCUAGCGUUGCUCGGAAUCACUGGGCGUAACGGGUGCGUAGGCGGGUCUUUAAGUCAGGGGUGAAAUCCUGGAGCUCAACUCCAGAACUGCCUUUGAUACUGAGGAUCUUGAGUUCGGGAGAGGUGAGUGGAACUGCGAGUGUAGAGGUGAAAUUCGUAGAUAUUCGCAAGAACACCAGUGGCGAAGGCGGCUCACUGGCCCGAUACUGACGCUGAGGCACGAAAGCGUGAGGAGCAAACA
rnacentral:rRNA from 1 species